AAGCUGUGAUGAAAUAUGCGUGUUGUGUUGGAGGGGUCCAUCACUCUCAUCUGAAUCAAGAUGGAAACAAGCGCUUCUGAGCUU